rnacentral:rRNA from 1 species
UGGGGAAUAUUGGACAAUGGGCGCAAGCCUGAUCCAGCCAUGCCGCGUGAGUGAUGAAGGCCCUAGGGUUGUAAAGCUCUUUCACCGGUGAAGAUAAUGACGGUAACCGGAGAAGAAGCCCCGGCUAACUUCGUGCCAGCAGCCGCGGUAAUACGAAGGGGGCUAGCGUUGUUCGGAUUUACUGGGCGUAAAGCGCACGUAGGCGGACUAUUAAGUCAGGGGUGAAAUCCCGGGGCUCAACCCCGGAACUGCCUUUGAUACUGGUAGUCUUGAGUUCGAGUGAGGUGAGUGGAAUUCCGAGUGUAGAGGUGAAAUUCGUAGAUAUUCGGAGGAACACCAGUGGCGAAGGCGGCUCACUGGCUCGACACUGACGCUGAGGUGCGAAAGCGUGGGGAGCAAACAGG